UACGUAGGGUGCGAGCGUUGUCCGGAAUUAUUGGGCGUAAAGAGCUCGUAGGCGGUCUGUCGCGUCGGUCGUGAAAACUUGGGGCUUAACCCUGAGCUUGCGGUCGAUACGGGCAUGACUGGAGUUCGGCAGGGGAGACUGGAAUUCCUGGUGUAGCGGUGAAAUGCGCAGAUAUCAGGAGGAACACCGGUGGCGAAGGCGGCAUCCUGGACCGAUAUUGACGCUGAUGCGCGAAAGCCAGGGGAGCAAACGGG
rnacentral:rRNA from 1 species